rnacentral:rRNA from 1 species
AUUGAACGCUGGCGGCAUGCCUUACACAUGCAAGUCGAACGGAAGUAGCAAUACUUUAGUGGCGGACGGGUGAGUAACACGUAAGAAUCUGCCUCCAGGACGGGAAAAACAGUUGGAAACGACUGCUAAUUCCGGGUGAGCCGAAAGGUAAAAAGAAAUUCGCCUGGAGAUGAGCUUGCGGCUGAUUAGCUAGUUGGUAGGGUAAGAGCCUACCAAGGCGACGAUCAGUAGCUGGUCUGAGAGGAUGAGCAGCCACACUGGGACUGAGACACGGCCCAGACUCCUACGGGAGGCAGCAGUGGGGAAUUUUCCGCAAUGGGCGAAAGCCUGACGGAGCAAGACCGCGUGGGGGAGGAAGGUUCUUGGAUUGUCGACCCCUCUUCUCAAGGAAGAAGAUCUGACGGUACUUGAGGAAUCAGCAUCGGCUAACUCCGUGCCAGCAGCCGCCGUAAGAC